GUGGAGGAAAGAGACGACGACGACUGACCUGUCACGUCAGAGCGACCAAGCGCUCCCCAAGUCUCCCUCCGCAGCAACAGCAGAAACGAGCUCGGAAUUUGCUUCGCGUCUCGCGCGAAAAUGCCAUCCCCACCACCACCUCCACCGCUACCGCCGUCGCCCCCGCCGCCGCCGCCGCCAUUGUCCCCCGCGGACGCCCGCGAGGGCGACGAUCGCGAGGACGAUGAGGAGAUGAUCGAGGAAGCGGAGGAAGGAGAGGGCGAGGGCGAGGGAGAGGGAGAGGGGUGGGAGAUCAUGGUGGAGGAGGAGGAGGAAUAUGGGGACGAAGGACGAGAAGAAGCGUUGGAAGCGGAAGGCGGAGUAGGCGGAGGAGGAGAAGGGGAAGGAGCUCGCGUGGGCCGAAACGAAGCUAGUCAGGAUGACAAACUUAAGAAGACAUUUGGGCUCUUGAGAUCAUGCUCUUCUGCAGCAGGAAAAUCUAAAGCCACUUCAUCAUCUAAUAGAACUUCAGAGGACUGGAAUUGCGGUUUUGGAGCUGCUGUUGUCUUGGAUGGACCAGUGGGAGAGCCAGUGGAAAGGUUUGAUUCAGCUGGCAAUUAUUCUACUGCUCCAAAGCUUGGAAAAUUUCGAGGUCCUCCUGAAGAUGUUGAAGAUCCAGAGUCUGCCAUGGAUGGGGAUAGUGAUGGGGUUCAACUACAACUGCAGAGGAAAGUUCCUGGUGGCAGCAGUGGACUUUCUAAAAUCCAUGCUUAUUUCAACUGUCUUGGGACUACUCAAAACCAAGAUGCCUCUCUUCCAAAAGAAAGCCUAACUGUUCCUUAUAAUUAUGCUGUUCCUUGUUCUGAGAAGGAUAAGCAAGUGGACUUGCAGCCCAGGGAUGGCGUGCAAAUGUCAUCAAGGUGUUCGAGGUUGAUCGCUUCUAGUGCAAGGCUGAGAAGUUUGUCUCCAGGAGUGGAGUUGUCGGAACGAAAUAAACGAGCGGCAAUAAUCUGUGACUUUUUUGCAAAAGGAUGGUGCAUCAAAGGGAGUUCAUGUAGGUUUCUGCACAUUAAAGAUAAUGUCAAUAGUACUCCUGAGCUGGUGCGCAGACAUGGUACUGCUUCAAGUUGCAUAGAAGAAGCUGCGCUCGAUGAAGGACGAAAAGAUGAUUUUGAGAAAUCAAAAUCACCAGGGUUGCCAAAGCAGUGUGCUUCUUCAGUUGCCAAUAAUUCUGUAUUAUGUUCUGGUUCUUCUUUGGAACAGAUUCAGUCGCAGGUGGUUAGAGAAAAUGACAGCGUGCACCAAAUCCAUUCAGUAGCUGUUUCCAAACCCCUUGGUGUUGAAGAUUUAUUGUUUAGCACUCCAACUGGUUCCCAUCAAUUGCCUCCAUUCAAGCAUCACAAUGGAUAUAUGUCUGCAGAUAUGGACAAAGGUAGAGAUUUGCAGGAAAGAAGUUGGAGUGCUGAUGAUUACAGAAUGCAUUCUUCAAAGCUUAGUAUUGGUGGUUCUGGUUCAAUGAGGGAUUAUUGGUUACCUCCCUCAAGUGGUUCCUUAGGAUCUUUUAGUUUAGGCCAAGAUCAGCAACCCCAUUCUCAUGGUUCCUUUACAGAAGGCCAAGGUACUAAUCAGGGCAAAUUUAUUGGCGAUUCUUCACCUAUCACAAGCCACCCUCUUAAUUUAAGUGACAAAUAUCCUUUGAAUACUACAGUAUUGCCUUCCCAACACACCUCAAGGCUGACAGGUUCUUCAAGGAUCUUUGAUUCUUUCUCUGAAGCCUCAAAUCCUCUUCCUGCUCAGGGUAGUCUUGACGUUGACUAUGCUGGCAAUCGAUCUUCUUCUCUCUUGGGAAGUUCAUCCGAUCUAGCUCGUUCUGAUCCAGGAAAUUUAUCUAAAGCAAAUGUAUCUGCAGAUUCACGCCCAUGGUUCGGAAAUAGGAGGACAUUUUGUUCUUAUGAUUGGGAGCCAUCUGAACCUUUUCGACCAUCUGUCUUCAUUACUCCGACGACUAUACCAUCUCCAGGGAGUAAAUGUGAGCCUUUCCGUGAUAGCAUUGAGCAACAUAAAACAAGAGAUGAAUCUUUCAGAUUGUCGUUUUCCAGUCAGGGAGCAUCUGUUCUUAAUACGGCAGAGCAGCUGGUUUAUAGCGAUUCAAAACGGAACCUAGUUGAAGAACGGGGAAACAACUGUUAUUCAGUAUCUUCACAUCAUAGAUUCAAUGCGCAUGGGUUAGACAAGGGCAGUUACUUACAUGGAAAAGAUGUAAAUGGAUCUGCAGUUGAGACGGCAGAGAAUUCAGUUGUUGACAGCCAAACUGAAAAUGACAUGUCCAAAGAGAAUGACCAGCAGUCAGAUCAUGGCAAGGAUAGUUCCCACAUUGGUGGAAGUAGUAUGGAUCUUGGCUCUGCGCUUGGAAGCGAUGUAGCUGGCUACAGAAAGGACGUGCUGUCUGACAAAGCUAGACAAGAUAUUGAAAUGGAUGUCACACAGAAGAAGGCUGCAGAUGUGAACGAGGAGUCGAAGGCAUUGAGACAUUUUCGAGUUGCUCUUAUAGAUUAUGUAAAGGAACUAUUGAAACCGACUUGGCAAGGGGGUCGUCUCAGCAAGAAUGCACAUAAUUUGAUUGUUAAAAAAGCAGUCGACAAGGUUCUUACCACCUUACAGCCGCAGCAAAUUCCGCCUAACCCGGAGUCAAUAAAGCAUUUUCUUUCUUUUUCACAGCUCAAACUCAGAAAGCUGGUUGAGGCAUAUGUUGAAAAGCAUGGGAAAGAUUGAAAGGACCAGUCCAAAGCAUCUUAUUCAAGUUUUGCUGUGUUUUAACUGCUGGAAGCCAUAGUAGAUGGUUGUACAUUCUUCUAGUGCGAGUAAAAGUGUUUCCCCUCACUGAUUGCCAGAAGAUGAUGGCAGUUGUUCUCUUGAAUUAGCAGUUGAUGGCCUCAAUUUGUUGUUUGCCAUCAUAUUGGGGAGUUGAUAAGAAUGAAAUGUGAAGUUGAAUGACCUAGUUGGAAUGACUUUAAACAUGGGGAAUAUGACACAAUGCAUUUUGCGGCCAAACGACAAGCUUGAAGAGGUGUACUCCUUAGUUGCUUGCUCUUUUGUUCCUCGAUUUGCUUUACGUAUAUCUUCCGUGCAGCCCUUAUUCUUCUUAUUGAAGUUCUUGUUGUUCUUCUGAGUUUCUUGUGGUGACCCUCUGGAGUAUGUGCUGUUGUCUAUCUGAGAUUGCUGUGCCUGAAAGAGAAGUGCGUGCGGAACAAGCUGGCCAUUGGAGAUCAAGAUGUCUGCCGGGGAGUGGCUUAGUUGAUCGAGUGCAGUUCUGUCUGGUGCAGGGGGACUGAAUUUGAAUUCUCGAUCGUGUUUGGCAUUGUUGGAGGGGAGCUUUGUUUGCUGAUCUUGAAUGCACACCAGGCCUGCGAAGGAGAGUGAAUCGAGUGAACUGUUGUCAGCUGCAACAUCCACGGAAAUCUUGUUUUGUAGGCGAGUGCCCAUUGUUCCUGGGAUAAGUUGCGUCUCAAGUUUGCUAUUUAUAUAUGGAGAGAUUUAACAGUAUUUGGAUGCACAUGCUUGUUUGUACUGUUUGUUUCUUCUUUGCCUUUUGCCCUGAACAGCUAUCUAAUAUGGGAAAACAUAAAUAUUUUCCUGCCUUAUUCUGAUAUGCUUUGAGGGAACAUGUGUGAUUGUAGGGAAAAAAGGUUAAUUUCCUCUGUGUAUCAAAGUAACUCUAGUGAGCUCCGUAAUCCAUUGUAAAGCAUAAUACUAAAUGAAGAGAAAUUUCUUGGAGUUGCUUUCAGUG